rnacentral:rRNA from 1 species
UACAGAGGUCUCAAGCGUUGUUCGGAUUCAUUGGGCGUAAAGGGUGCGUAGGCGGCGCGGUAAGUCGGGUGUGAAAUCUUGGAGCUUAACUCCGAAACUGCAUUCGAUACUGCCGUGCUUGAGGACUGGAGAGGAGACUGGAAUUUACGGUGUAGCGGUGAAAUGCGUAGAUAUCGUAAGGAAGACCAGUGGCGAAGGCGGGUCUCUGGACAGUUCCUGAC